GAUGAACGCUGGCGGCGUGCCUAAUACAUGCAAGUCGAGCGAACGGACGAGAAGCUUGCUUCUCUGAUGUUAGCGGCGGACGGGUGAGUAACACGUGGAUAACCUACCUAUAAGACUGGGAUAACUUCGGGAAACCGGAGCUAAUACCGGAUGAUCUCUUGAACCGCAUGGUUCAUAAGUGAAAGACGGUGUUGCUGUCACUUAUAGAUGGAUCCGCGCUGCAUUAGCUAGUUGGUAAGGUAACGGCUUACCAAGGCAACGAUGCAUAGCCGACCUGAGAGAGUGAUCGGCCACACGGGAACUGGGACAGGGACCAGACGCCUGCGGGAGGCAGCAGUAGGGAAUCUUCCGCAGUGGGCGAAAGCCUGGCGGAGCAACGCCGCGUGAGUGAUGACGGUCUUCGGUUCGUAAAACUCUGUUAUUAGGGAAGAACAGAUGUGUAAGUAACUGUGCACAUCGUGACGGUACCUAAUCAGAAAGCCACGGCUAACUACGUG
rnacentral:rRNA from 1 species